ensembl:lncRNA
AUCACCUCUAAUACAGCUGACCUGAGUGAUAUCACCUCUAAUACAGCUGACCUGAGUGAUAUCACCUCUAAUACAGCUGACCUGAGGGCCAGUUUGUUGGUGCCGUCAUGCAACUACCUCUCAUUGUCAUGCCAAAUACAGGGAUCUGCCUAAAUCUAGGAAAACCCAAUAUACAGGGUGGGUUGCACCAACAUGGAGGAACUCUUAAGCCUUCAUUUAACCCAGUUUCAUCUUCAUCUUGUUGCACCAAACUUUAAAUCUAUUUUUAAAUGAAUCCUAGUUAAAAUGAAUCCUUCUUCUAAUCAUAAGUUUUAGUUUUCACUUUAAACCUAGAGUCAUUUUAAGCUUGAAUAUAAACUUAGAUUGGAGAUUCUGAACUGCCAUUUGAUGUGGUUGAACUGAUAAAAUGACAGGAUAUCGACUGUGGAGAGACCAGAACGACAGAGUUCCUCAGAGAACAUUACGAGACAGGUUGUAUCCUGUUGAGUUUUUUUUAUAAUGAUGAGUUUUCAAGGAGAUGCCGCUUCUCCAAGGAAUCUGUAAUGCAACUGGAAAGAAAGGUUGGACCAAGCGUGGGAACGACGGUAACGAGGAUGUACCCCUACUACUUCAGCUCCUGAUGACUCUACGGUUCUAUGUAACUGGAUGUUUCCAGAUGGUGGAUGGAUGUGGACCUUUCUGGACUCCACAAGUCAACCGUCUACAGGAUUGUAGUGUCCAGUGCUUUUGCCGGCCUGAAGAACGAGUACAUCAGGUUCAGUCCUACAGAGGAAACAGCAGCUGGAUUUUGAGAUGAAAGCUAGAUUCCCGUGUGUACUAUGGGCAAUAGACUGGACACACAUUCCUAUUCCGAACCCUGGUGGUGGGAAUGGAGAACUAUUCUGUAAUCAGAAAGGUUACUGCUCCGUCAACAUGCAGGCUGUCUGUGAUGUCAAAGGUCAGCUCACCAACAUCCUAGCAAGACGGCCAGGAUCCACCCAUGACAGCAGAUACUUUGACAAUAGUCGUCUGUGUGCAAUGCUGGAACGGGGAGCAUAUGAAGGCCCCCUACUACGUAACAAUGGAUAUUCUUGUCAUGGGAACCUUAUGACUCCCCUUUUAAACCCCCAGACACCUGAAGAGAGACAAUCCACCACCUCAUAUCCUGACAAGAGAUCUCAUAGAGAGAGAAUGCACCACCUCUCAUAUCCUGACAAGAGAUCUCAUAGAGAGAGAACACACCACCUCUCAUAUCCUGACAAUAGAUUUCAUAGAGAGAGAACACACCACCUCUCAUAUCCUGACAAGAGAUCUCAUAGAGUUUUUGUAGUAUGGAAGAAAAGAUUCCCUCCCCUACAGGUGGUGCUCUGCAUGAAGAUGGACACUACACUGACAAUCACUAUUGCAGUGGAAGUUCUGUAUAACUUUAGCAAGAGACAAGGAGACAAGCUACCUGAGGAGGCUGAGGAGGACCUACCUGAGGAGGAUGAGGAGAAUGGAGAAGAUGGCCAGGUGCAACAUGCUGUUGAUGUGAAUGCGAUGAGGAGAACUUUGAUUGAGAACCAUUUUUGCAGCCUAACAUGUGUGUGUAUAGUGUAACAUGUAAAAAGCAAUAUUAUAUUUUGACUGACGUGCAAUUCUUAAUAAGACUAUCUGUAUUAAAAUGCAUUAUUAAGUCAUUUGUUAUUCUCGAUCAUAAAGGGGGGAACUGGAAGCACCAGAACAUGAGUGGGGGCACCACAUUGCUAGGGAAAGCAUUGUUUUAAUAAAUAACAAGAUUAGCAUUCUUUCCACAUUUGUUCCCCUGAAGGCGUUUCUGUUUCUGAAUUCGCAGUAGCUCUUUUUUGUAAACUCAGAAUCUCAGUCUGCGGAAUAUUUUUCUCUCCCUCCUGCGCCAAAACAUCAAUAUGAGCUGUUUUAGUCUUGGGUUCUGGGGGCGUUCGAUUGGCCCGGCUAGUUCAAGAUCCAGGCAUUGCUGUUUCUCUACGACAACAGGGUGUCGGCUCAACUGAAGAGAAUCAACUCCUUAUUAGAACUUACCUUCCCAUUUUGUAAUUGAAUUAGAGCUUGUGAUACACCUUGGUAGAAUGAUGACGUUAUGCAACAUGCUGUAACGGGACUGAGAACAGUAACAUUCUAGUGAAAUACUAUUAGCGUUAGUUUCAGUGGUGGAAAAAGUCAUUUCACACUGUUGUAAAAGUAAUGAUAUCUUAAUAGAAAAUAACUCCAGUAAAAGUCAGCCAGUAAAAUACUACUUGAGUAAAAAGUCAAAAGUAUUUGGUUUUAAAUGUUCUUAAGUAUCAAAAGUAAAAGUAUGAAUUAUUUAAUGUUCCUUACAUUAAGAAAUCCAGAUGGCACGGUUUUAUUACAUACAUACAUUGACAGUUUGCCAGUGUCACACUCCAACACUCAGACAUCAUUUACAAAUGAAACAUUUGUGUUUAGUGAGUCUGCCAGAUCAGAUGCAGUGGGGAUGACCAGGGGAUGUUCUCUCGAUAAGUGCCCGAAUUGGACCAGGUUCCUGUCCUGCUAAGUAUUCAAGAAAAUGUAUGGAGUAAAAUGUUGUUUAAGUCUUUUCUUUAGGAAUGUAGUGAAGUAAAAAUAAAAGUUGUCCAAUAUAUAAAUAGUAAAGUACAGAUACCCAAAAAACUGACUUAAGUAGUACUUUAAUAUAUUUUAACUUAAGUACUUUACACCACUGGGUAGUUUUGACAUGCAUUGUAGUCAUUGAUGUUAACCAGUUAUUUAUGCUUACUAAAUAUUGGUGGGACUAGUUGUCCGUUGUCAUCAUAGGGUUAACUGUUCGGGUAUCAUCACAUAUGUCCUGAGAGAGAGACUGUGGUCUGAAAUAUCUUCCGCCUCUCAUCUGCUGCAUUAUUUUUGGCUUUCGCUUUGAAGUUUUUCCCAGCAGCCUUCAUCUGAUUUGUGUCCCUCUCCUCUUUCAUGUCAAUCAUUUAAAUAUGUCGCAUAAAACAGCCCAGGUGUCGUCUUUCAUCCUCCAGUACGUUACUAAAUUCCUCCAUCAGCUCAGUACGUUACUAAAACUAAGUUUACAUACACCUUAGCCAAAUACAUCUAAACUUAGUUUUUCACAAUUCCUGACAUUUAAUCCUAGUAAAAAUCACUUUAUUUUAAGAACAUGAAAUGUCAGAAUAAUAGUAGAGAGAAUGUGGGUCAGAAGUUUACAUACACUCAAUUAGUAUUUGGUAGCAUUGCCUUUAAAUUGUUUAACUUGGGUCAAACAUUUUGGUUAGCCUUCCACAAGCUUCCCACAAUAAAUUGGGUGAAUUUUGGCCCAUUCCUCCUGACAGAGCUGGUGUAACCGAGUCAAGUUUGCAAGGCCUCCUUGCUUGUACACUUUCAGCUCUGCCCACAAAUGUUCUAUAGGAUUGAGGUCAGGGCUUUGUGAUGGACACUCCACUCCAGGUCAGGGCUUUGUGAUGGACACUCCACUCCAGGGCUUUGUGAUGGACACUCCAGGUCAAGGCUUUGUGAUGGACACUCCACUCCAGAUCAGGGCUUUGUGAUGGACACUCCACUCCAGGUCAGGGCUUUGUGAUGGACACUCCACUCCAGGUCAGGGCUUUGUGAUGGACACUCCAGGUCAGGGCUUUGUGAUUGGCACUCCACUCCAGAUCAGGGCUUUGUGGUGGACACUCCACACUCUGAUGCCUAUCAGAAGCUUUUAAAGCCAUGACAUCAUUUUCUGGAAUUUUCCAAGCUGUUUAAAGGCACAGUCAACUUAGUGUAUGUAAACUUCUGAUCCACUGGAAUUGUGAUACAGUGAAUUAUAAGUGAAAUAAUCUGUUUGGAAACAAUAGGACAAAUUACUUGUCAUGCACAAAGUAGAUGUCCUAACCGACUUACCAAAACUAUAGUUUGUUAAGAAGAAAUUUGUGGAGUGGUUGAAAAAUAAUUUUUAUUGACUCCAACCUGAGUGUAUGUAAACUUAUGACUUCAACUGUAUAUGCUGUGUAUAGAGCCCCACAUUGGAGGUGUGAUAAUACCCAUACAACCUAGCGGUGAAACAGAGAAAUGGUUCCAGUCUAUUUUCCACCAUUCAUUCUUCCCAUUGGGGAUAGUUAGAAACACUUAAAAUAAGGUCUGUGUUUCAUGUAGGCUUACCCUGGCGUGACAUUUUAUUAACCUGUAAAUCUCUCUUGGACAAGAUUACUUUUAUCAAUAUAUUUGGCUCUAUUUACUCUCAGAUUUGAAAACACUAAUUAGCAUCAAAGUAGAGAUCGUGAAAAACUACAAAUACAUGUUCCUGCACGUCAUCUCUAGCUGACACCAGGUACAUAACAGGUAUUAUGGAAAUUUCAAACUUGCACAAGACAGUUCACAGAAUUGCAGGAAAUAAACUUUAAAACAGAUGUUUUUUUCUCUCCAACGUCAGGAGGGGGGGGCACUAAAAUAUUUUGCAGUGAGGUAGUGGGGCCCCCAAAAGGCUACUGCCGGCCCUGGAGAUCUGGAUACAAUGCAGCUAGAUAAUAAACUAACGAAGCAGCUGGAAGAAAUACUGGUGGCUAUGACAGAAGCCAAACGUGAGUUGGCUUGGGGGUGUGGUUUGACGUCCUUGCCACCACCAAGACACACCCAUCUGUCAGAACCUUGCCUGCAGCUGUUUCCUCCCCACUCAUUCACAACAAACAAACCUCCUGUAGAUUCAGUUCAAUAACUACAGGCAGAUGUAUGGUGAGAUGCCAGAGGAAGCUUUGACUAGGUCAGUAGUCUACAGAGUAAUAUGAGAAGAAUGCAAUUGUUGAAUUUAUGUAGAUAUUCUAAACUAAGUGUUUUGAUAACUUUCAAUUGUAGUAACAGCUCCAUGUAGAAUAAACAAGCCUUUACAUAAA